AAUGCUUCCAAAAACCUGGAGGUGGAUGUGGGCAGGGUGGGGCACCUCAUCACUUGGAGGAGGAGCUUCUUCUUGAAGUCUGGACAGCUCAGUCUCCCUAGGCCUGAAGGACAUGCCCAAGAAGAGGAGAAGCAAACGACGCUGUUCUUCGUGGUCUGCGCUGCUCACAGCCUGCACCAGGGCUGUCCUCUCAGAAACUGCAACCACACACUGGAAACACUGUUUCGUCGGGUGCAGCCAGGGGCCCUUCGGGUCCCAGGUGGUCAUUCAAAGCCCUGCUUUUCAAGUACCCUGGGUUUCCCAAGCUGGGGACACUGCCUGAGUGCCUCCCUUGGUCGCUGGUCACCUGGUUGAUGCCCCCAGGUGAGGACGAGUGGUUCUGAAGCUCCUGGACCCUGGGCAAUCCCUCCGGCCUCCGGGCUCCCAGGGCGCCUCUUCUCUGUAUGCUGACACUUGGCAUU